rnacentral:misc_RNA from 1 species
UAUCGAAUCGCCUCGGCGCGGUUAAUGAACAGGCCGCCGAAAAGGCCGUUCUCCUCCUGGGCAACCCAGUUGCCGCGACUGUUUUUACCGAUAAACACAAGUCCAGAACGACACGACGGAGGUUCAGUCUGCUCAGUCUGCUUCACGAUUCGUCUNACACUCUGUUGGAAGGAUCAAGUUCAAGUUGAGGAUCCCAUGUGCACUCCGCCAAUAUCCGCUCACCGUCAUAUGAAUUCGAGAGCGAAGCCGUGGCCGUCUCAUAGGGAAAGUAAAGUGAAGGAGGCUGAGGGAUUGCGAGUUGCAUGUCAGGAU